GUGGGGGUUCUACCUGUGUGAUGCUGAGAAGUACCAUGAAGGAAAACAAAGCAGUGUAAGAAGAUAGAAACCGGGUCAGUAAAGGAGAAGGCUGGGCAGCGAAGAGAGAAAAGAGCCCUGUUUAUGAGAAAGCGCUUUGCCGGGGGAAAGGAGCGACAGGCAAAGGCCUUUCAAGAAGCUCAAAAUGACCGCUGUGUGGACCAGGUGUGCUAGGUGAAGUCUGAGAGGUAGCCAGGGACUAGGUCCUGUUGGAUUUUAUUCUAAGAAAAAUGGGAAGCAUCAGAGGGAUGAUGGGCUGUGUCUUAAGUUUUCGAAAGAUCCCUCUGGCUACUGAGUGUGAAUAGACCAGAGGGGAGUCGUGAGGAUAGGGAGGUUGUAAGGGUGGAAGCAAAGAGAUUGUAGAGUAGAAGGUGAUUGCAGGUGAUGAAUUGGAUGCCAGUGUGGCUACGGCGAAAUGAGCUAGGAGAAGAAUGAUGAGAAGUAGCCAUGGGCCAGACCAGAUAGGGCCUUGUACGUCAUGGAAUUCUUUCCCAGAGAGUUGGGAGGCCUGGGGAAGAGUAAGGUGGUCUCACUUAAGUUUUACAAGGAAUACUCAGGUUGCCGUGUGUGAAUAGACCGGAGAGGGGUGAGAACGGAGGCGGGCAGAGGGUGCAGUUAGGAAGCUGUAACGGGGAUGGAGGCAGACGAUGGGUUAGACUACAGUGGAGGUGGUAGAAGUAGGGUAGGAUUGGGGAUCUAAUUUGUAGAGCCAACGGUUGUCGACGAAAAUUCAAUUAACUAUCAAAUUAAGAAGAAAAGGGAUUUUAUUCGAGCCAAACUGAGGAUUAUCACCUGGGAAGCAGAUUCUCAGAAAGUUCUGAGAGCUCUUCCUCCCGUUAGAAGUCGAAGGUAUAGUCUGUACAUUUUUGAGACAAAGGAUCGUACAUCAAAAUGACGUACUGAUGUUUCACUUAAAGUUCACCAAGGAUACAUAGACCAGGUAAGCACGUACAAAGCGGGCAGCAAGUCACCAUGACCCCCUACAGAGCUGGGAAAGAACAAUGUUCUUGUAAGAAGUUACGUUGCUAGCGUCAGAAGAAAGAAAAAAAAAUUGGUCUUUAUGGUUGAGCAGGCACUGCCAUCUUUGAGGAGCGCUAACGCGUAGCGCUAAUGCAGAUGCAUACUGCACAUUAGGGAGAGAGGGACGAGGCCCAAACAAACAGAAUUUUAUGAUGAAUUUUUUUCCUUGUCCUUCCCUAAAACAGAAAUUUUAUUUAAUCAGGGUCUUGCUAAUGUGAUGUGGAGUAUGAGUGAAAGGAUGGUAGUGCUGUUACUGAGAUGGGGAACCCUGCGGGAGGAGCAAAUUUAGCAGAGGCGUAGUUUGGAGCAAGUUAAGUCUCAAUUGCCUGUGAACCCUCGUGACAGUGUUGAGGAGCGAAUUGGCUAUUCCAGUCUGGAGUUCAGGCUGGAGCAGUGAAUUAGAAGCCACCCUUGUCUAGGUGGGAAUUAAAACCAAGGACCUGAAUGAAAGCACCUGGGAGGAGAGUGUGGAUAAAGUAGAAAGAUCUAAGGACCAUGAACUGGGGUACUGCAGCAUUCUGAGAUGGAGAGGAGAAGGAAAAUCCAGCAAAAGAAACUGGGAGGAAGUGGCCAUUGAGUAAGAGGAAAACCAAGAGAUCAUGUGUCCAUAAAGUCAGUCGAAGAAAGUUCUUCUGAAAGGAGAAACUGAUCAGCUGGAUUGAAUACUGCUAGGAGGUGGAAUAAAAUUGUCCCACCAUUCACAACAGCAUGACCCUGGGCAAAGCAAGUACUCUCUCUGAACCGCUGUUUCCUCAUUUGCAAAGAUGAGACAGGAGAGUCGCACCUGUCUCGGGCUUGUUAAAAGGUGUGAACAUGCCUGGCACAUGAAGAUUAAAGUCGUCCCCCCAUCCAUCCAGCACUGCCUCCCUCACAGGUCAUCAGGGAGCAUCAAAGGAGCUGAGAAUGAGAAAGCUCUUUGUCAACUGUACAGCACCCUGCAAAAGCCUAAACUACUCUGUAAAGUCUCAGGGUUCCUGCUGCAAGGUCCUGUCACUCCAGUCAACUUUGAUUUCAAAGUUCAUAUGAAAGGAGUCUGGAAAAUUAAAAAUAGAUCUUGUUUAACCUUUCUGAUUUCCAUUUUGUCCAUCACUUAGGUAAUGAUUACAAAAUAUGAAAUGCGUACUUGCAGAGCGUGUUUCUGCAAGUUUAGUGGGUUCUGAAAAUCACUGCUCUUCAGCCUUCCUGAGGAGAGGAGCGAAGGCCAGAGAGCCCAGAUGACCCAGAUUGCUGACGUUUGUAGUGCCAGAAAAGUUUUCCCAUCUACCUUCAGCCGUGAUGACCCAGUCGUCUUAGCACCUGCUGUGUGCUUUGUCACUAGAAGGUGAAGGCCGAGAACGCAGGGACAGUGUCAUCUUCACCGUUGUGACCUCAGGUCUUGGUCCAGUAGCACCCAGUACGUGUCAGGCACUUCUAGGCACAAAGGAAAGGUACAGACAGCGAGCAAGACAGCUAUGGUCCUUGCUGUCACGGAGCGUAGUUUCAAGUACAAGCGAGACAAGAAAAAUAACACCUCCUGUGGUAAGUGCUAUGAGGAAACAGACCAGUGUGAGAGUGAUAAGACGGCCUCUCUGAAAAGUGAGAUUUAAGGUCAGAUCUGGAGGACAUGCAGAAGGGCUGGGAUAAGAUGAGCACUCUGAACAGAAUAGCCUGUGGGAAAACACCUGAGAAGGAAGACGCCUGGGCAAAUCUGAGGAAUAAAAAGGCCAGUGUGUCUGGAGCUUAGUGAGUGAGGCAGAGAGCACUGGAGAUGUGAUAAGCAAGCUGGGCGCCACCCGCUCGGGCAGGCCGGUGAGAAGCUUGGCUUUCGUUCUGAGAGCAAUGGAAAGCCACAAGAGGCUUGAAGCAAGGGAGUGGAUCUAACGUAAAAGCUCAUCCCGCUUGCCGAGGGAUGACUGAAUGGCACCAUGCCCUGUGCAGAGCAGAGAUAGAAGGUGCUGCUUCAGCCUCCAGGAUUCAGCUCCAAAGCAAAGGAGUGCCUUUCCUCCAUAAGCUAGCUGUGCAAGAGGGUCCUUGGGUCCACACGAGAAGCAAGCUGACGUUUUUCAGUCUCUAGAUGUUUUGCUUCUCUAGCAGGUUACUGAUCAGGUUUGAUCAGGUUUGUCAUUCUCUUCUGGCAUGUUUGAGAGCAGGAUGGGUUAAGUUUAGGAAAGAGGACAGAAGAGGAAGGCUCAGAAAGGAGCCAGAAGAAUUCAAGGAGACAAGGAGGGUGAGAAGCUCAGGUUGCGGAACUGCCAGGGCAUCUGGUCAUUAAUCAUUUUGAGAAGUAAGGAGUGCGGCAAAGACAAACCUGCAGAAAAGGGGGGAAAUGCUCAGCAUUCAAAAAAAAGAAACAAGCUUCGAACCUAAGACAGUGGGAGAAUGAAGGAAUCUAUGAUCGUCAGAGCUUCCCUGCACUAGAAAAAUCACGCUCCAGAUUUUCUGCUGGACACUGGUAGAGACAAAAUGCCAGACCCCACGUGAGUGUGUGAGCUGAGCUGGGUGUGACGUGCUCCACUGAGCCACAUGCCACACUCCACCAUCGCAGGGAGGUCGAUGUGGACGAUGCUAUCAGCCUUGCGCAGGUCCCAGAAGCACAAGUGGAUGUUCAGUUUUCCCAACAUCAUUUGCUGAAAAGACUGUCCUUUCACCAUUGAGUGGUCUUGGUACUCCUGCUGAAAAUCAUUUGACCUUGUAUGCAAGGGUUUAUUCCUGGGCUCUCUAUUCUAUUUUUUUUUUUUUUUUUUGUGGUACGCGGGCUUCUCACUGUUGUGGCCUCUCCCGUUGCGGAGCACAGGCUUGGGACGUGCAGGCUCAGCGGCCAUGGCUCACGGGCCCAGCCGCUCCGCGGCAUGUGGGAUCUUCCCGGACCGGGGCAUGAACCCGUGUCCCCUGCAUCGGCAGGCGGACUCCCAACCACUGCGCCACCAGGGAAGCCCUGUUCUUCUUUUUAAAGAUUAUUUUUAUUCGGGUCCCUUGAGAUUCCAUAUGAAUUGUGGGAUGAAUUUUUGUUUCUACAAAAACAAGUCAUUGGCUGAUGCAUGAUUUUAACUUGGGGGUGUAGUAAUCAUGGAAGCAGUUAAGAGGCAGUUCAGACAAGAAUUGCUGGUGUUUCUGAAUGGCAUGGUAGCAUUGGACAUACAGAAACCUGGAGGGCUUUGGGAAGUGUUUGGAUGGUGAAAUCAAUAGGAUUUAGUGGUAGAUUGGAUGUGGGUGAGGAGGGAAAAAGGAAUCAAGAAUGAUUCCUUGGUUGUGGACUAGAGCAAACGGUGGUGCCCAUUUCUGGAAUGGAAAGAAUGGAGAAAGAACAGCUUUGGGAACCAGGGGUGUCAGGAGUUCCUUCGACGGCACAGAUGGCUGGGAGACGCCAGAUGGGAAGACAGGCAGCUAUACCAUGGACGCCCAAGCUUGGGGCACAGGGGAGACUGCAGGGCUGGGAAGAGAAAUAUGAGUGUCAGUACUGGAUGGAUGAUGUGUAGAGCCCAGAGGCUGGUCAGGCGACCAAGGAAAGAGAGUAGGUGGAGAAGGGAGGUCCAAGGAGCCAGCCAACCUGGUUAUUCAGCACUCGGGACCCGGAGGAGGAGUCAGCAAAGGUGGCUGUGAGCUCCUGGGGAGAUUGUGCCCAAGCAUGGACACACCCAGGGGCCCACCCAGGGGCCGGCCUCCUCCAUGACUCUGCGUCCUGGGCCGGUGCCCUGUGGCUGCACGGAGGCGCACAGCAUUUGAGGAGGCAGCGGGGCAGCGGGACCAACCGGGCAGCAUCCUUCUUAGCCUUGGGGUUGGGAAGUCCCAGACACCUAUGAGCGCACUUCUGGCCACCGCUGUCCACCAGGCCCCCCGCAUGUCCCUUCUUCAUGCCUCUCCACCCCCUUGAAGGGUUUCCUCACUGCCUCCCCUGUGUGUCCCCCUCCUCUGGCUGACCCCAUGUGUGGCCCCUGUCCAGGCAGCUGGAGCUGUGGAACCCCUGCAGACAGUCAGUGUGCUUUAUUCAUCUUUGUUUUCCCAGUGCCCAAUAUUGAGCCUGGAACAUGGGUCUCUGGAUGGAGAGAUUAAGGGGUAAUUUUAAAAUUAUUUUUUCACUACUGUUCUAAUUUCUAUACCCUGAGCAUGUAUUAUUUGUGUAAUUAUUAAAAAUAACAAAAGAUUAAAAAACACCCAGAGCGAGUGUUUUUUUCCUGGUGGCACAGUGGUUAAGAACCUGCCUGCCAAUGCAGGGGACACGGGUUCAAGCCCUGGUCCAGGAAGAUCCCACAUGCUGGGGAGCAACUAAACCCGUGAGCCACAACUACUGAAGCCCGUGCACCUAGAGCCCGUGCUCCGCAACAAAAGAAGCCACCGCAAUGAGAAGCCCGCGCACCGCAAUGAAGAGUAGCCCCCGCUCGCAGCAACUAGAGAAAGCCCGUGCAGCAACGAAGACCUCAUGCAGCCAAAAAUAAAUAAAUAAAUUUUAAAACCACCCAGAGCAGUGGAAUAAACAUUGGUUUGAAAAUGAUAACAAAAUAACAAAGCAAAGUGCAUUCACUCAUGCAUUCCGUAGUGAUCGAUUGAGUUCCCUUGGUGGGCAGCAUUGGGCCAGGGGCUGAGGAUGUGCACUCUGCAAGAGGAGGCCCGGUCGGGUGGUUCCCAGUGUUGGAGAGAGUGUUUAGCGACCGCCGCUCUCCCACGAUACUGCUGACGAAGUAAUGUGGUACAGACACUUUGGAAAACAGGUUGGCAGCUCUUAAAAAGUUAGCCAUAUUAUUACACGUGACCCAACAGUUCCAGUCCCAAUAUUUAUCCAAAGAAACAAAUGCAUAUGUCCACACAGAUGAUUGUUCCUGAAUGUCCAUAUCAGCUUUAUUCAUAAUGACUAAAGAUGGAACCGACCCAAAUGCCCACAAACAGAUGGAGUGUAACAAAUGGUGGCUCAUCCGUACAAGGGACUCAGCAAUAAACAAAGAACCACUGAGCCACGCAGCAACCUGGCUGAAGCUCAAAAGCAUUACGCUACAGAAAAAAGCCAGACCCAGCAGAGGACAUACUGCGUGACUCCACCCAUGUGAAAUUCCAGACCAGGCAAAACGAAUUUAUAGGGACAGAAAACAGACCCUUGGUUGCCUGCCAGGGUGGGGACAGGGCUGGCCGCAGGGAGCAUGGUGGAAACGUUGUGUAUCUUGCUUGUGAUGGUUGGUUACAAGUGUGUAUACGUUUGCCAGAACUCAUUAAACUACACUUAAAAUAGAUGUCUUUUAUCAUAUGAAAUUAUAUCACGAUGAAGUUGAUUUUUUUAAAAAAGGAAAGACACUGUCCCUGCUCUGAUGGAGCCAGUGGGGGUGAGAGACGUCAUUCAAGUAACAGCAGAAAUGCACGCAGUCACGAACCAUGAUCAGCCUCCUGAAGAAAAGGCACAGGGGGCCCCGAGAAGUAAGAGGCCGAGACGCCUGGUGGGGCAAGCUGUCUUAGCCCUACUUUCUAGAUGGUGACACAAAGGCUCAGAGCAGCCCUACAGCUUGCCUGGAGUCAUGUAACACAGAAGAGGCGGAGUUAAGUUUCCAAUUCAGGGUUCGCUGACUCCGAAGACUGGAUUCUUUCUACUAGGUGAGUCUUGUUCUUUCUGCAUCUUUUUUUGCUGAAAAAAAACCUCAACACUGAGACAGAAGAACACAGGGCCCAGGCUUAGCUAUGAAUUUUCUGUGGAAAUAACACUUUUUUGAGUGUUCUCUCCUGAAUCUAUAUUGAAGAUAUCGACUAAAGUAGAUUUAUUUCAGGAGUGAAAAAAUAAGAACAUAAAUCCUCCCAGACCCAGGCUUCGAAGGGCUCCAGCCUAAUCCCAGGAACCUGUGAAUAUGUGAGGUUGUGUGGCAAAGGGCAAUUAAAGUUGCAGAUUAAAUUAGCGUUGCUCAUCAACUGACACUAAUGUAGGGAGAUUAUCCUAUAUUAUCCAUGUGCCCAAUGUAAUCACAAGGGUCUUUAAAGGCGGAAGGAGAACUUAGAGGCAGACCACAGAGAUGCUGUGGGUUCAGUUGUGGACCACUGCAAUCAGGCAGAUAUGGCAACAACGCGAGUCACACAAACUUUUUGGUUUCCCAGUGCAUGUAAACGUUAUGUUUACACUGCACUGUAAAAGUCUAUUGAGUGUGCAAUAGCAUUAUGUAAAAAAAAAAUGUAUAUAUCUUAAUUUAGAAAUGCUUUAUUGCUAAAAGUGCUAACUAUUAUCUGAGCCUUCAGCAAGUCAUAAUCUUUUUUGCUGGUGGAGGGUCUUGCUUGGGUGCUGACGGCUGCUUACUGAUCUUGGUGGUGGUUGCUGAAGGCUGGGGUGUGGCCAUGACAAUUUCUUAAAAUAAGACAACAAAGAAGUUCACUGCAUUGACUGACUCUUUCACAAAUGAUUUCUCCGUAGCAAGCAGUGCUGCUUGAUAGCUUUUUCCCCACAGACCUUUCAAAAUUGGAGUCAGUCCUCUCAGACCCUGCCACUGCUUUAUCAACUGAGUUUAUGUCAUAUUCUAACUUCUUUGUUGUCAUUUCAACAACCGACUAAGUUUACCAUCUUAUAUGGGAGUGGUUCGUGGUGCCCCAAAACAAUUACGAUAGUAACACCAAAGAUCACUGAUCACAGAUCGCCAUAACGUAUAUAGUAAUGAAAAAGUUUGAAAUAUUUCGAGAAUUACCAAAAUGGGGCACAAAGACACAUCGUAAGCAAAUGCUGUUGAAAAAAUGGUGCCAAUAGACUUGCUCUAUGCAGGGUUGCCCCAAACCUUCAAUUUGUAAAAAAUGCAACAUCUGCAAAGCGUAAUAAAGAGAAGCACAAUAAAAAAAAAGGUGUGCCUGUCAUCAAGAUCAUAGACACAAGCAGUGGUGUUUGCCAGGGGCUAAGGGGGAGGAGGAAUGGAGAGUUAUUGUUUAAUGAGUAUAGAGUUUCAGUAUUGCAAGAUGAAAAGAGUUCUGGAUAUGGACGUUGGUGAUGGUUGCACAACAGUGUGAAUAUACUUACUGCCACUGAAUUGUACAUUUAGAAACGGUUAUAUACUAAACACUACUGAACUGUACACUUUAAAAUGGUACAUUGUAUUUAUGCGAAUCAUAUCUCCAUUUAAAAAAAAGAGGUCCGAGACAGAACAAUCCCUUUUUCCUGUCUCUGGGUUUGAUACAUAAGGGUGUGAGGCCUGGAGCUGCUGCGACCAUUCUUGCAGCCAUGAGGGACACUGGUCACACAAAGAGAAGCCAAGCACAAAGACGGGAGGCCCCUGAAAUAACUGGCCUGCUCCCGACUUCUGUAAUGUGACGUAGUGGAGGUCCUGACCGUGAAAGCCAGUUCCUAGGCUUUUCUGUUCUUUGUAGCAGAGAGCAUCCCUCCAGAAAGUCCUGAGCACCCUGUACACCAUCAGGGGUCUCUCCUACCGGAGAAGCAAGUCUCACUCCCAGUGGCUGGGAGGAAGUAACAUGUUCUCUUUGAUUUCGUUUUUUGGUUUUGGUUUUUUUUUUUUUUUUUUUCCUGUACGCGGGCCUCUCACUGUUGUGUCCUCUCCCAUUGCGGAGCACAGACUCCAGACGCGCAGGCUCAGAGGCCAUGGCUCAUGGGCCCAGCUGCUCCGCGGCAUGUGGGAUCCUCCCAGACCGGGGCACGAACCCGUGUCCCCUGCAUCAGCAGGCGUACUCUCAACCACUGCGCCACCAGGGAAGCCCUCUCCUUGUUUUAAUGCUGCUGUGUCUUCUCCUCUGUUGCUCCUCCCCCACCCACACUCUUCACCCACCAAGGGC